CGACCGGCGCACGGGUGAGUAACGCGUAUGCAACUUACCUAUCAGAGGGGGAUAGCCCGGCGAAAGUCGGAUUAAUACCCCAUGAAACAGGGGUCCCGCAUGGGAAUAUUUGUUAAAGAUUCAUCGCUGAUAGAUAGGCAUGCGUUCCAUUAGGCAGUUGGCGGGGUAACGGCCCACCAAACCGACGAUGGAUAGGGGUUCUGAGAGGGUGACCGGCCACAUUGGGACUGAGACACGGCCCAA
rnacentral:rRNA from 1 species